CCAAGCACAAUUUCGGAGGGGACACAUAAAAACUCACAGGCUCUAUUCAUAAAAGGGGGCUUCAUCACAAAUUUCAGGGGAUUGGCUGAAGGAGAGAAAAGCUAGGGUUGGUUUUCUCCUUCUGGUUUUCAUUUGGAGUUCAUUCAUAGAGAGAUCUGAAAAAAAAAAAAGACAAGAGUUUUGUUUUGAUUUCCAACUUUCCCUUCUGAUUUUUGUGUUCGUUCAUAUUAAAACAGAAACAAUUUUUUUCUUUUUCGACUUUUAUGCUUCUCCAGUCCGGAAAAACGCGCUUCAUCUUCUGAUUUUUAUCCUUUCACGUGGAGUUGAUUUGAAUUCGAAGUGGAGUUUGGUUGAAGUUCGAGAUUUCGAUUCUAGUCGCCGAUUCGAACCUGGCUCGGGGUUCCGUUCGCAUUCUGUUGUGAUUUCUUUAUUUGAAGUUUGCCGUUAAAGUUGUGUUUGUCGCUUAUUCCACUAUUAUUAACAAGUUAAUUCCUCAUCAGUUUAUAUUGGUGAAGUAUGUCCUCAUUUGACAACCUGUUCUGUGCUGGGGUAAUUGAGAAUCCUGUUUCGAGUCAGUUUGCUCGUUUAUUUGUCCCAUAAGAAGCUAACUGGAAAAUGAUAGUAAUUUGGUGAUAUGGAUGAAAGCAUUUGCGACAUGGUUUUUGGCGUUAAACUAGAGUUAAGUUAAACAUGAGAAUUAUGUGAUGUUGGUUCUCUAUUGCCGUAUUUGAUAUUCAAAAGAUAGCUAGCUUCAGAUUUGGUUUUGCUUUGGAAGGAAUUGCGUUCAAAUGUUCUUGGUGUGAAAGUCCAUACAUGUAAGAUCCUUAAUUUUUUGGAAAUUGGUUAAAGAGGAAUUCGAAAAGAAUAACUCAAGUAGGAACAGUGAAGUGGGGUAAAUCACAAAUUAGUCCGUGGGAGGGUCAUGGCUCUCAUCAUGCUUCGAUCCACCUUUUCUUUAUUCA